rnacentral:rRNA from 1 species
CCUACGGGCGGCAGCAGUGAGGAAUAUUGGUCAAUGGGCGGAAGCCUGAACCAGCCAAGUCGCGUGAGGGAAUAAGGCCCUACGGGUCGUAAACCUCUUUUGCCGGGGAGCAAGGGCGGGGACGUGUCCCGGCACGGAGAGUACCCGGAGAAAAAGCAUCGGCUAACUCCGUGCCAGCAGCCGCGGUAAUACGGAGGAUGCGAGCGUUAUCCGGAUUUAUGGGGUUUAAAGGGUGCGUAGGCGGGCUUUUAAGUCAGCGGUAAAAAUUCGGGGCUAAAGCCCGUCCGGCCGUUGAAACUGGGGGCCUUGAGUGGGCGAGAAGAAGGCGGAAUGCGUGGUGUAGCGGUGAAAUGCAUAGAGAUCACGCAGAACCGCGAUUGCGAAGGCAGCCUUCCGGCGCCCUACUGACGCUGAGGCACGAAAGUGCGGGGAUCGAACAGGAUUAGAUACCCUUGUAGUC